rnacentral:rRNA from 1 species
AUGGUAUCAACCCUAACCGGUCCAAUGUCUUCUGCUGCCGCCGCCGCGACCGCAUCGACAUCCGCCGCCGCCGCCGUCACGCCGAAUCCUGUCACGGCGCCUGCGUCGCCGUUCCUCUCAUCGCGCCCCCUGGCCUCGGUCUACUCCGGCCAGGCCUCGAUGGCGGGGGCUGCGUCCGAUCAGCAGCCACCAUCAUCCCCGAUCGCACCACCGCCGGCUUGGGGCGCUGCGUACCCUGACCCGGCGGCCCCCUGGAUGGGAUCGGCGCCCUACGGGGCUCCUCCUCCGCCGAACGCAGGGCCCUACGGGGCUCCUCCUGUGGCUGCUGCGACCAACGCCGCCGCCCCGUACGGAUUGCCAUAUCCGGCCGCCGCGGCUACGGCGCUCUACACCGCCCCCGCUCCACAGCCCUACGGCGCCACGAACAGCGGGUCGGGACGGGCACCGGCCGUGCCCUACGGUGCCCCGCCACCGCCACUGCCCUACGGUGGGUAUUAUCCACCUCCGCUGGCCACGUCCUACCCUGGAGCUCCUGCACCGGCUGCACCGUCCUCGACGCUGGGCCCUGGUGCAUCUGCUGGAUCGUCCCACAUGGGCUACUACACGUCGCCUCCCGUUGCUGAUCAUGCCGCGGCCGUUGCAUCGUUCUACUUCGCGCAUCUCAUCCCGGUGAAGCUUACGACAGACAAUUAUCUGUCAUGGCGUGCACAGGUGUUGCCGCUUCUCCGCAGUCGCUACCUGGAGGGCUACGUCGAUGGUUCCCUGCCAUGCCCUCCACCGCACCAUCCGGCGUAUCAUGCAUGGGUCGCUCAGGAUCUGGCCAUCCUCUCCGCGAUCCAGUCGUCGCUCACCGAGGGGGUGUCCUCCUUGGUCCUCUUCGCUGCCACGUCUCAGGAGGCGUGGUCUGCUCUUCACACGAGCUUCGCAUCUCAGCAGCAUGCGCGCGCUCACACUAUUCGUACGGAGCUGGGGGAGACCAAGCUCCUUGACCUCAGCAUCGCCGACUAUUUUGGCAAGAUGACGCGUCUCGCCGAUACCUUGGCCUUCAUUGGCCAGCCGCUUCGUAAGGAGGACUUCACCACCUUCGUCAUGAACGGACUGGAUGACGACUAUGAUAACCUUGCUGAAAAUAUCAAUGGUCGUGACACCACUCUUGAACCUCGUGAGCUCUACGCCCGCCUCCUCGCCACGGAACAGCGCAUCAAGUCCCGCCGUUCUAACCCGAGUUUUAUUGCUGCCAAUGCUGCCACGCGUGGUAAAGGGAAGCCCUUCAAGUCACCAACCGGCGGCAAGUCAGUGCCAUCGACUCCACAGACUCAGCGGCCGCCCGCCGCCGCCACCCUGCCUACGACCGGGGGUGGUCGUCCGUGUGCCUGCUGCCCCUCAUGUGGCGUUCAGCUCCCCUGUCAGCUGUGCAACCUUCCAGGUCACAUCGCUUCCCGCUGUCAUCGCCGCUUCAAGCAGGACUUCCUCGGCAUCGGCAACAAUGGCAAAGGCAACGAGAAGUAG